UCUGUUUUCUUUUCUUUUUUUUUCUCUGAAGAGCUCAAGAGCAGCAGUCGCUCUAUCACCACCAUCAUCAUACAGCCGUUCGAUUUGUUAAGGAAUAAGGAUUCACUUCUUCUUCUUCACCAUCUCUGAACUUUGAUUGAGUCCGCCUUAUGGGAUUCUCUCCUAAAAAAAGCUUGAAGUAAACUCCAUGUCGGUGCAGCCAGUGCCAUGGUUUGAGAAGUCCCCCACCCUUUGCAAGGAUUGCAUUUCAUUUCUUGUCGCAGACUUAUGAAAAUGUGGUUUUUAGUACUAUUUUGUAAUGUUGAACUUAGAACUUAAGUGUGUGAUGUUGUUUUAAACCUUUGUAUUUUGAACUCAAGUUGUAACGUUGAACUUUGAAUAGUCAGUUUUUAUAUGUUGGGUUUGUUGUUAGCGACUUAGUCUUA